rnacentral:misc_RNA from 1 species
UUAACAAACAACACAACAUUGUUUUGAUUGAAACAUUUUGUUCGCAGGGAAUUGCUUUCUGUGUCAUGCACACUACUUCGUGCGUGUUUUAUGUGUGCAUGUGCCGCAAGCAAUUUUUCUUUCAAU